rnacentral:rRNA from 1 species
UUAANUCCGGUUUUGCAGUGGGUACGGGCUAACUAGAGUGCAGUAGGGGAGACUGGAAUUCCUGGUGUAGCGGUGGGAUGCACAGAUAUCAGGAGGAACACCGAUGGCGAAGGCAGGUCUNUGGGCUGUAACUGACGCUGAGAAGCGAAAGCAUGGGGAGCGAACAGGAUUAGAUACCCUGGUAGUCCAUGCCGUAAACGUUGGGCACUAGGUGUGGGGGACAUUCCACGUUUUCCGCGCCGUAGCUAACGCAUUAAGUGCCCCGCCUGGGGAGUACGGCCGCAAGGCUAAAACUCAAAGGAAUUGACGGGGGCCCGCACAAGCGGCGGAGCAUGCGGAUUAAUUCGAUGCAACGCGAAGAACCUUACCAAGGCUUGACAUGCAUUAGAUCGCGUCAGAGAUGGCGUUUCCCUUCGGGGCUGGUGUACAGGUGGUGCAUGGUUGUCGUCAGCUCGUGUCGUGAGAUGUUGGGUUAAGUCCCGCAACGAGCGCAACCCUCGUUCUAUGUUGCCAGCGGUUCGGCCGGGGACUCAUAGGAGACUGCCGGGGUCAACUCGGAGGAAGGUGGGGAUGACGUCAAAUCAUCAUGCCCCUUAUGUCUUGGGCUUCACGCAUGCUACAAUGGCCGGUACAGAGGGUUGCGAUACUGUGAGGUGGAGCUAAUCCCUUAAAGCCGGUCUUAGUUCGGAUUGGGGUCUGCAACUCGACCCCAUGAAGUCGGAGUCGCUAGUAAUCGCAGAUCAGCAACGCUGCGGUGAAUACGUUCCCGGGCCUUGUACACACCGCCCGUCAAGUCACGAAAGUUGGUAACACCCGAAGCCGGUGGCCUAACCCUUGUGGG